rnacentral:lncRNA from 1 species
UCCAUAUAUGUGCUAGUAGUUUACUUUCAUUACAUUUUACUUAUUGUGCGUGUGAAGGGGCAUACGUGCUAUGACCUGAGUGUGGAGGUCAGAGGACAAUUUCCACACGCAUGUCAUGGCACAUGGGAGCUCUGGAUAUAAAAGUCAAAGGAUCGGCUUUGGACAAGAGCGUCUUUUCCUGCUGCCAAUCUCAUAAGACUUUUUUACCUUGUGAAAUUACAGCUGAGAUUUAUGUUCAGCUAGCUUUAGUUGUUAGGUUUUUCACACUGCAGUGAUACUUACUGUCACCACUUGGUGGAGCUCUUUGGUAAGUGAGAACAUUGUCAAAAAGCAAGCUCAAAUAAAUUGUCACUGAUUUGGGGUUGUCUUUAAGGUGGUUCAGAGGAACAUUAAAUCACAUAGCAGAUAGCCAUGUAAAGUGUUGGCUGUAUAUUUUGAUUUAAACUGUUAAUAUAUAAUUGAAGUUUUGAUAUUUUAAUAAUUUUAUCAUAUUUCUGACUUUUCUAUCCUGCUUUUCAUAAAUUUAGCAGUUUUUACUGUUGCAUCUUCUUUGUUGCAGUUGAUUUUAAUUAGGAAUAUAUAUCUUGAAUUAAUGAAGAAAAUGAAAGUUGAUUAUGAUCCUAAUAGCUCUAGAAAUAAGAACCCACUUUAGAUAUAUUAUAAUCCUUUCCUUAACUUUUUGUUUAUUUUUUUUUUUUUACAAAAUUGGAAUCAAGAAAUACAAAUAAUUUUGUAGAUUUUUUUCUCUCACUUAAACAUUGUACCUUGGGCAUUUCCCAUGUGCUUGUUCUGGUCUUUGAAAAUGUCUUAGGAUUUUGUGUAACCCCAUAAUUCAGCUAUAGCAUUGUUUAGCCAUUCUAUUUUAAGAUAUUUAGACACCCCACUGUUAUGGGGUAUGUAAGUAGCUAUUAGAACAUCUGUUACAAGGAUCUUGUCCCAGCUCCCCAGUUAUUUUCACUGGGUGGAUUCUUAGCUGUACAACUGAAUGUCUCAAAACAUCAUGGCAGCGUAUUGUUCAGUUGACAUUAUUCUAAGAUUUGACAUUUGCUGAAUCUGGUUUUUGAAAGGUAAGAUUUUUUUUCCAGUUUUGCAAAGUCCACUUCCUCCACACACUUCCUCCACAAGUUUUACCUUUUUGUGUGUGAUUUCACUGAGAAAUAGUUACUUUUUUGUAAAUAAUUUUAAGUGCUGUUUUGGACUCCCUUUAAUAAUUUUUAAGCUUUUUAAAAAAUUAUGUGUACUUGUGUGUACAUGCACAGGAGUGGAGGUGCUCAUGCAAGCUGUAGAUCCCAGGUGCCAGUCAGAUCAACAGUUGUGAGCCCCCUGAUGAUGUGCCAGGAACCGAUUUUGAAUUGUCUAACCAAGUAAUGUACACUUUGGACGACCUCUGAUCUAUUCUUCCAGCCUUCCUUUUAUAAUUUUUAAGAAAAACAUUUUAUUUGCAAGUUCUUUAUAAAAAGGUUUAUGCAAUUACAGCAAAACAAAUAAACAAAAACAAACCUGUUUUCAAUUUAGUUGUAAAUUGGAUUGGAAAUAAAUCCUGUAGCUACCCAGAGCCACUGUGCUACAAAGUAGCAAGAGAGGCGGACCCUCUGUUUGCAGAUAAUGGCAGGGCUGUGGGAGUGGGCGGGGUGCUUAUUAAAGGAAGGAUAGCAACGGGUAGGAGUUAAACACAGAGAUACAGGAAAGAGCACAAGGAUAUUAGAGGACUUUAGAAGUAAGGAAAAAAGGCUCACAGUGGUAGGUUGAAGGAGAAAAACUUAGUGCGACUCUUCAGCCAUAGCAUUAAAAUAGAAAUUAAAACUAUGAGUUUAAAGUAUAGCAUUUCUGGGGAAGCUGACAGAAAAAUCUUGACUCAAACUCCAUUAAAAAUAUCCAGAACCUUUAAAGCUAUACUAAUGGAGACCUUGUGGUAUUGGUGCAAAAAGACCAGUGAUCCGUAGAUGAGGGCGGCAUGGACACUGGCACGAGGACACAUGCGUUGUCCGUUCAUUUUCUAGCGAGGCGCAAAGGUAAUUCGGUAGAGGGAGCCUGUUCUUUUCAACCUUGAAGCUGGACCAACUGGCUAUCUGUUUGUGACACUUCACUUACAGGGUUUGGGAGGUGGCUCAGUGGGUGAAGGUUGCCAAACCUGAUACCCGCAGUUGGAUCCCUGGAUCCCACAUGGUGAAUGGAGAGGACCAGUUUCUGCCACGUUGUACUCAAACCUUUACCAGCGUGAUGUGGAUUGCCAACAAAUAUGAAUUUAAAGAAUUUUCUGUCUCAUAGUACUUAGAAAAAUUAGUUCACAUGAACCCUAGACAUAAAAUUCUAGAGCAGGACAUGUAAGAAAUCAGUGUGGAACUGUGUUAGAGAUAAGUUUCAUAAAUAGCAUCACUAAAAACUGAACC